UCUCUGGUGAUCCAGUGGUUAGGACUCUGCACUUUCACUGCUGAGAUUUGGGUUUAAUCCCUGUUCAGGGAA
rnacentral:tRNA from 1 species